rnacentral:rRNA from 1 species
GCCUGCACUUGAUUAGUUUGUUGGUGGGGUAAUGGCCUACCAAGACGAUGAUCAAUAGCUGAUUUGAGAGGAUGAUCAGCCACAUUGGGACUGAGACACGGCCCAAACUCCUACGGGAGGCAGCAGUGGGGAAUAUUGGACAAUGGGGGCAACCCUGAUCCAGCAAUACCGCGUGUGUGAAGAAGGCCUUAGGGUUGUAAAGCACUUUCAAUUGUGAAGAAAAGUUAACGGUUAAUAACCGUUGACCUUGACGUUAACUUUAGAAGAAGCACCGGCUAACUCCGUGCCAGCAGCCGCGGUAAUACGGAGGGUGCGAGCGUUAUCCGGAAUUAUUGGGUUUAAAGGGUCCGUAGGUGGAUAAUUAAGUCAGAGGUGAAAUCCUGCAGCUUAACUGUAGAAUUGCCUUUGAUACUGGUUAUCUUGAGUUAUUAUGAAGUGAUUAGAAUGUGUAGUGUAGCGGUGAAAUGCAUAGAUAUUACACAGAAUACCAAUUGCGAAGGCAGGUCACUAAUAAUCAACUGACACUGAGGGACGAAAGCGUGGGUAGCGAACAGGAUUAGAUACCCUGGUAGUCCACGCCGUAAACGAUGGUCACUAGCUGUUUGGACUUCGGUCUGAGUGGCUAAGCGAAAGUGAUAAGUGACCCACCUGGGGAGUACGUUCGCAAGAAUGAAACUCAAAGGAAUUGACGGGGGCCCGCACAAGCGGUGGAGCAUGUGGUUUAAUUCGAUGAUACGCGAGGAACCUUACCAGGGCUUAAAUGUUUGGUGACAGAUCUAGAAAUAGGUUUUUCUUCGGACACUAAACAAGGUGCUGCAUGGUUGUCGUCAGCUCGUGCCGUGAGGUGUCAGGUUAAGUCCUAUAACGAGCGCAACCCCUGUUGUUAGUUGCCAGCGAGUAAUGUCGGGAACUCUAACAAGACUGCCAGUGCAAACUGUGAGGAAGGUGGGGAUGACGUCAAAUCAUCACGGCCCUUACGUCCUGGGCCACACACGUGCUACAAUGGCCGGUACAGAAAGCAGCCACUUUGCGAAAAGGAGCUAAUCUUCAAAGCCGGUCUCAGUUCGGAUCGCAGUCUGCAACUCGACUGCGUGAAGCUGGAAUCGCUAGUAAUCGCAUAUCAGCCAUGAUGCGGUGAAUACGUUCCCGGGCCUUGUACACACCGCCCGUCAAGCCAUGGAAGCUGGGGGUACCUGAAGUCGGUCACCGCAAGGAGCCGCCUAGGGUAAAACUGGUAACUAGGGCUAAGUCGUAACAAGGUAGCCGUACCGGAAGGUGCGGCUG